AGGGUGUACAUAAGUUUACACAGCAAGACAGAGUAGCGGUAAUAACAAAAAUGAAUAAUGAUGGGGAUGGGGAUGACGAUGGGGUUUGUAAAUAAUGAGGUUUCUACUUUCUAUUUGAAUCUGAAACACAAACGGAGCUCAUAAAUCAAAGGCUCCUUAUAUCUGCUUCCCUCUUCCCUCCCUCAUUCAACAUAGCAUAACACCAUGAGUUGGUGGUGGGCUGGAGCUAUCGGUGCUGCCAAGGCAACAAAAAAAUUCGAAGACGACGAACCUCCGCGAAGCUUCCAAAGCGUGGGUCUGAUCAUCGGCGUCACCGGCAUAGUCGGCAACAGCCUCGCCGAGAUUCUCCCUCUCGCCGAUACCCCCGGCGGUCCAUGGAAGGUCUACGGCGUUGCCCGGCGGCCCCGUCCAUCCUGGAACGUCGAUCACCCAAUCGAAUACAUCCAGUGCGACAUCUCCGAUCCCAACGACACCCAAUCGAAGCUCUCCGCCCUAACAGACGUCACACACAUCUUCUACGUCUCAUGGACUAGACGCCCCACCGAAGCCGAGAAUUGCCAGGUUAACGGCGCCAUGCUCAGGAACGUCCUCCAAGCCGUUAUCCCCAACGCCCCCAAUCUCCGCCACGUGUCCCUCCAGACUGGUGGCAAGCACUACCUAGGUCCCUUCGAGCUCUUCGGCAAGAUCCAACCCCACGAGCCGCCGUUCACGGAGGAUCUGCCGCGACUCAAGGCCCCCAAUUUCUAUUACACUCAGGAAGACAUCUUGUACGAAGAGACGCAGACGAAGGACGGUGUUUCUUGGUCGGUUCACCGGCCACAAGUGAUCUUCGGAUUCUCACCUUACAGCUUGAUGAACAUGGUGGGAACCCUGUGCGUGUACGCGGCGAUUUGCAAGCACGAGAGGGUUCCGUUGAGAUUCCCUGGAACCAAAUCGGCGUGGGAGGAUUACACGACGGCGUCGGAUGCUGAUUUGAUCGCGGAGCAGCAUAUAUGGGCGGCGGUGGACGCGUACGCGAGGAACGAGGCGUUCAAUUGCAGCAACGGGGAUGUGUUCAAGUGGAAGCAUCUGUGGAAGGUGCUGGCGGAGCAGUAUGGGAUCACCGAGUAUGGCUUCGAUGAGGGUUCCGAGAGACUCAAGUUGUCGGAGAUGAUGAGGGAUAAGGGCCCUGUGUGGGAUGAGAUUGUUAGAGAGAAUCAGCUUUCUCCCACCAAACUUGAAGAGGUUGCUGAUUGGUGGUUUGUGGAUGUGAUGUUCGGUGGCGCUGGCCUUUUGGAUAGCAUGAACAAGUCCAAAGAGCAUGGCUUCUUGGGUUUCAGGAACUCCAAGAAUUCCUUCAUUAGCUGGAUUGAUAAGACCAGAGCUUUCAAGAUUGUGCCUUGAAUUCUUCAAUAUCCAUGUAUCUUGCUUCCUAAACUUUCAGGUGAUUGUUGAAAAGGCGGAAAUAAGUGACAUCCCAAGUAUUGACAAGAAGAAGAGCAAUAAUGUCUACCAUAUAUGAAGAGAAGGAUGAAGAUGGCUUUCUUUAUGUAACAUACAGUGGCGAGAACACCUUUGGGGAUCUCACUUUCCACAUUCAUUAGCCAUUUCCUUAUAUCUAUGACUAUGAUUAAUGAUUUGUAUGAAUUCGUUACAGUUCACAUAUCAGGAACCUUGAUUUAUCUCAAUGACAUGUACAGUUUGU